UUUAUGGAGAGUUUGAUCCUGGCUCAGGAUGAACGCUGGCGGCGUGCCUAAUACAUGCAAGUCGAGCGAACGGACGAGAAGCUUGCUUCUCUGAUGUUAGCGGCGGACGGGUGAGUAACACGUGGAUAACCUACCUAUAAGACUGGGAUAACUUCGGGAAACCGGAGCUAAUACCGGAUAAUAUUUUGAACCGCAUGGUUCAAAAGUGAAAGACGGUCUUGCUGUCACUUAUAGAUGGAUCCGCGCUGCAUUAGCUAGUUGGUAAGGUAACGGCUUACCAAGGCAACGAUGCAUAGCCGACCUGAGAGGGUGAUCGGCCACACUGGAACUGAGACACGGUCCAGACUCCUACGGGAGGCAGCAGUAGGGAAUCUUCCGCAAUGGGCGAAAGCCUGACGGAGCAACGCCGCGUGAGUGAUGAAGGUCUUCGGAUCGUAAAACUCUGUUAUUAGGGAAGAACAUAUGUGUAAGUAACUGUGCACAUCUUGACGGUACCUAAUCAGAAAGCCACGGCUAACUACGUGCCAGCAGCCGCGGUAAUACGUAGGUGGCAAGCGUUAUCCGGAAUUAUUGGGCGUAAAGCGCGCGUAGGCGGUUUUUUAAGUCUGAUGUGAAAGCCCACGGCUCAACCGUGGAGGGUCAUUGGAAACUGGAAAACUUGAGUGCAGAAGAGGAAAGUGGAAUUCCAUGUGUAGCGGUGAAAUGCGCAGAGAUAUGGAGGAACACCAGUGGCGAAGGCGACUUUCUGGUCUGUAACUGACGCUGAUGUGCGAAAGCGUGGGGAUCAAACAGGAUUAGAUACCCUGGUAGUCCACGCCGUAAACGAUGAGUGCUAAGUGUUAGGGGGUUUCCGCCCCUUAGUGCUGCAGCUAACGCAUUAAGCACUCCGCCUGGGGAGUACGACCGCAAGGUUGAAACUCAAAGGAAUUGACGGGGACCCGCACAAGCGGUGGAGCAUGUGGUUUAAUUCGAAGCAACGCGAAGA
rnacentral:rRNA from 1 species